rnacentral:rRNA from 1 species
CCUACGGGAGGCAGCAGUGAGGAAUAUUGGUCAAUGGACGAGAGUCUGAACCAGCCAAGUAGCGUGAAGGAUGACUGCCCUAUUGGUUGUAAACUUCUUUUAUAUGGGAAUAAAAUGUUCCACGUGUGGGAUUUUGUAUGUACCAUAUGAAUAAGGAUCGGCUAACUCCGUGCCAGCAGCCGCGGUAAUACGUAGGAUCCGAGCGUUAUCCGGAUUUAUUGGGUUUAAAGGGAGCGUAGGUGGAUUGUUAAGUCAGUUGUGAAAGUUUGCGGCUCAACCGUAAAAUUGCAGUUGAAACUGGCAGUCUUGAGUACAGUAGAGGUGGGCGGAAUUCGUGGUGUAGCGGUGAAAUGCUUAGAUAUCACGAAGAACUCCGAUUGCGAAGGCAGUUCACUGGACUGCAACUGACACUGAGGCUCGAAAGUGUGGGUAUCAAACAGGAUUAGAUACCCUUGUAGUC